AAACCUCAAAAUAACAGGAUAACUUUGAGAUGACAAAAACAAUACAAAAUGAUGGCUGUUGUAUGUGCAACUAUGAACAAAAGCUCUGAACUCGCAUAUAUUCAGGCAUGUAAGAAUUUUCACAGAUUCAUUUAAUUACUGAGGGAAAAAAACGCUGUUGAAACGCUGCCCGUAAAGUUGGGAUUAAUGAAUCGAAAGCAUAGAUUUGUGUCUGCUUUCUGCUGCGUUUUUUUGUUUUUUGUCAUUUGCACGGGAGAAACUUGAAAGGGAGCGACCGCCGUUGGUUUGGAGGAACAAGGGACUGGCUGGCUGACCGGCUGGCUGACCGACUGGCUGACUGGUGGCAAGAAAGUGUGGUAGAAGUGACAGGUGCUGUUAAUGUGAAGUGCAAAGUGUGUGCAGUUGUUGUUGAAACUAUUGCAGAAUUAUAGGGACAUGGAUGAGGUGUCGUUGAGAAGACCACCAUGGGAAAUUUUGCGAGCAAGGAUGCUGCCAAGAAUGAACCCCGUGAUGUUGAAAUCAUCCUUGAGGGUGUGAUCGUUCUUCAGGACCUUGGGAAUGUGGCUUUUGCAACCUUGAUGUUAUUUGGUCUCAUUUAUGCGCUCAACCUGAAGUACCCCAUAAAGCUACACUACACUUUUGAGGUUUUGCUAAAAAAUCAUAAUAGAGCUGGAUGGAGGUGAGCUCUCUUAUAAGGCCCAAAACUUGAAAACUAAGCUUUACCAGUGAAUGCUCCCAAUCCCCCACCCUUUGGUACAUUGAAGGUCCUGUUUCACAGUACACUUUGAAGUGUUGUUUCACACUAUCAGAUCAGCAAUGCAGAGGAACUUCAACCCAGAGUAGUCUGAGAAGAGGAAUUUCAAAAUUAAAAUUAUUGCUACCAUGUAUAAAAAGGUAAAUGGCCAUUCAUAUGCAAAGAUGAGUACAUGGAGGCAGUUGUAUAUAUAUGCCAUUCUGGCAAUUGCCAAUGAAUAUGUACACAACAGUAUUUGCUUUUGAGCAGCAAUAUUUAGAUGGGGCUGUUACCAAUCUCCUACCCCCACCCCCAUGAAAUUCUGGAUCAAUUUUGUCAUUCAAAUUGACUUUACCUAUUCUGACAUUCAAACAUUUAAAAGACUGCAGUCCUGUUUCACAAUAUGUUUUUAGCAACCCCACUUAGUUGGGUAGAGGAGUCUGAGAGUAACUUCUAUAAGUUUAAUGAUUGUUGCUUCUAUGUCCAGCUGGUUGUUUGAAACACAUGCCGUUUCAUAUUCAUGAAGAAAUGUUCAAGUUAAUGUUUCUGUGAAUUUUUAUUUUUAUUUAUUUUUUUUGAAUGGCUAUACUUGUGCGCAGAGAAAUUAAUGGAUGCUUCUAUAAAGCAGUUGUGUGUAUGUCAUUCUGACAGUAAAAUGAGCAGCUAUAUUCUGAUGGGACCAAUUCCACACCCCCAUAAAAUACUGGAUGAAUUUAGUCAAUUUUGACUUUUACUGUUCUGAGAUUUAAACCUUUUUAAUAGAUUGAAGUGCUGUUUCAGUGUUUUCUAGGAGCCUUGCACAUGUAGAUGAGUCUGAGAGGACUACUUUUUUCAGUUAAAUGAUUAGUGCUGCUAUACUCUGUUUUUAGACUAACUGUUUAAUGUUAAUGCAGAAGUGUGAAAGUUGUUAAGUGUCAUGUUUUUGUUCAUUUGUUAUUUCAUGUCUUUUAUUUUAAAAAGUAGAUCGCUGUUUCCUGUUCCUGUUUCAUGUCAUGUGGUUUCCUUGUCAUGUGGCCUUCUUGUUUCACCAUGUUUAUUAGUCCUGUCUAUUCAUUGGUUUAUGUUUAUGGGUCUUGUUAUCUGUUCUGUUUCAUCAUUGGUUCUUGUUUCAUUGCCUAGUUAUCUUGUUAUCAGUUUUGUGUUUUCACUGGUUGUCUUGUUAAUGUGUUCACCUAGUCUGUGUAUUUAUAGCCCUCAUGUUCUCUGGUCCUGGGUCCAGUAUUGCUGAUGUAGCGUUGUUUAUGUUUGUUUUGGAUUUCCGUUUUUUGGCUUUAUUGCACUUUCUAAAUUAAAACAGCACUUGGGUUCUCACUUCCUCAUCGUCUUGUCUGUUCCUGUCUUCAGCCUGUCCUGCCUUGCCUGAAUGUUACAUUAAGGUCGUACUUAAGUUCAUGGGCUUCAUAAAGAAGUAAUUCACAUGUAAUUCUGGCUGUGAAAUUGUUGUCCAUUUAUACUUGAGUGUUGGCUAGUUUAUUUGUGGGACAGAUCUGGUUCACUUGAUGAAAU